GUCAACGCCCUAACUAUGUCAACUGGUUGUCGGGAAGCAAUUCCUUGGUAACGAAGCUAACGCGUGAAGUUGACCGCCUGGGGAGUACGGCCGCAAGGUUAAACUCAAAGGAAUUGACGGGGACCCGCACAAGCGGUGGAUUAUGUGGAUUAAUUCGAUGCAACGCGAAAACCUUACCUACCCUUGACAUGUACGGAACCUCGCAGAGAUGUGAGGGUGCCCGAAAGGGAACAGUAACACAGGUGCUGCAUGGCUGUCGU
rnacentral:rRNA from 1 species